GUGUGUGUGUGUGUGUGUGUGUGUGUGUGUGUGUGUGUGUAUGUGUGUGUGUGUGUGUGUGUGGGCAUGAGCGUAUGAAAGGUAGCAAUUUUAUUUCUAUUUCAUUGUGGAGCCUUUAAAUAUUUCUGUGCAUUAAUCAUGCAUGUGCCUGUUUAUCAUAGACAAAUAUUUUUAUUUGGUCUGGCUCAGUCUUUUUUGUGUACAUACAUACGUGUGGAAAGUGUGUGUGUUUGUGUGUGUGUGUGUGUGUGUGUGUGUGUGUGUGUGUGUGUGUGUGUGUGUGUGUGUGUGUGUGUGUGUUUAUA